rnacentral:tRNA from 1 species
UUCCCGCUAGUUCAACGGCAGAACGCCGGAUUCUGGCUCCGGAGACCCGGGUUCGACACCUGGGCGGGAAGCCA